rnacentral:misc_RNA from 1 species
AGCUGAUUCUGAUGAUCCCUUAUCAGAAGCAACUGCGGGAUCGAUCAAUAUCAGCAACAUUUUGACAGGCAAAUGCCUCGCUAAAAUAAAAGCAACCGAAAGACGUAGAUCAGAUGAUUGCAGUUGCAGUACCAAUUGUAACGGGCAUGGUGGCAGAAGUUGCAACGCUAAGAAGCGUAUCCAAGCUUCCAGAACUAGAAGCACAGUUGCAGAAGCCCUGGAAGAUAUCACCGCCCUUUUCUAUGACGAAGAGCACAAUGAGAUCUAUACUGGAAACAGUUUUGGGCUGAUCCAUGUAUGGUCUAACUGAAGGUCGACUGAAUCCCCGUUCUCUGAAUAUAUCAAAAAGGUUACACAUAUUGAAUGCCAUUUCCUCUUCUGGCUCGCUCACUCGCUGUGUUCUUUUAUUUUAUUUUUACUGUUCCCCCGAGAAGGGGAGAUGAUUUGAUUU